UAUCUAUAAUGUUGAAUUGAAAAAAAAAUGAAAGUAUAAAUAGUAAUUAUGUGAUUACAUUAAAUAAGUUAAAAAGUUGAAGGGGUAUUUUUAGAAGUUUUGGUUUCCAACAUAAGGGGAAUUUGAAUUCUUCACUUCUUGUUGUGGAAUUCAAAUUCUACAUUAUAAUGGAUAUUAAUUUCUAAUAGACGUUAAAUUAUUAUACAUUAUGUCAAACCAAACAACGAAAAAAAAAAGAAGAUUUUAUUGUCAUGUUGUUUCUUUAUUAAGGACACUGUAGUUACUUAUUUUGUUUAUAUAUUUUUCAGUUUAAUGAGAUUUCAGGAACUUUGCUCUAUGGCAAGAUGACCGUGACAAUUCAAAGAAGGGAGGACCACUUAGGUGAUGUUGGGUUUGAAGAAAUGUGAGAAGAUGAGAGGAGAGGAAAGUGGAGAAAAAGAGAGAAGAGGAGAGGAGAGGAGAGUACAAAACUUUUCUAAUAUUUGGUUUGUUACAUAAUUAUAUAAAGAAAGGAAAUCUCUAAUUUUUUAUUUAGACAAUUUUAACCUUAAUAAGCGUUAAGCUUUCAAUAUUUAUCAUGAAUAUAAUUCAAAAAAAUUAAACAGCAAAUGUUAGAGAGAGAGUUGGGUCACAUGAGAGAAACAAGUCAACCCGAACCUGAGAGCCCGACCUGAAAGCCAUUUUUUAUUCCCUCCACAUCACCGGUAAUGGAAGGUACUGAUCAGAACUUCAAGAGCCAACCAUCAUUCCCCAUCCAUCGCUGCCGCUGAAUAUUGCCGGAAAGCCUCCAAUUGAAGCGUGAAAGCUGCGGAUAUCGCUGCCUCAAAUCGUCGAGUUUUCACCUUUUUCUUGUCACGUCGUCGCCUUGGUUUUGUCCAUCAAGGCUGCCACUUCCAUUUCCGACCAUCCCUAGCCACUAGCAACCNN
rnacentral:lncRNA from 1 species